rnacentral:rRNA from 1 species
GACGAACGCUGACGGCGUGCUUAACACAUGCAAGUCGAACGGAAAGGCCCUGCUUGCAGGGUACUCGAGUGGCGAACGGGUGAGUAACACGUGGGUGAUCUGCCCUGCACUUCGGGAUAAGCCUGGGAAACUGGGUCUAAUACCGGAUAGGAGCCAUUUUUAGUGUGAUGGUUGGAAAGUUUUUUCGGUGUAGGAUGAGCUCGCGGCCUAUCAGCUUGUUGGUGGGGUAAUGGCCUACCAAGGCGGCGACGGGUAGCCGGCCUGAGAGGGUGGACGGCCACAUUGGGACUGAGAUACGGCCCAGACUCCUACGGGAGGCAGCAGUGGGGAAUAUUGCACAAUGGGCGCAAGCCUGAUGCAGCGACGCCGCGUGGGGGAUGACGGCCUUCGGGUUGUAAACUCCUUUCGCUAGGGACGAAGCUUUUUGUGACGGUACCUAGAGAAGAAGCACCGGCUAACUACGUG